GACGAACGCUGGCGGCGUGCUUAACACAUGCAAGUCGAACGGGAUCCAUGUUGUAGCAAUACUUCGGAAGAUCUAGUGGCGAACGGGUGAGGAACACGUGAGAAACCUGCCCCGAACUUCGGGAUAACAGUUGGAAACGAUUGCUAAUACCGAAUACCUCUGCGAAGUGGCAUCACUUUGCAAAGAAAGAAUUUCGGUUCGGGAGGGUCUCGCGGCCUAUCAGCUAGUUGGUGGGGUAACGGCCUACCAAGGCAUCGACGGGUAGCUGGUUUGAGAGGAUGAUCAGCCACACUGGGACUGAGACACGGCCCAGACUCCUACGGGAGGCAGCAGUGGGGAAUCUUGUGCAAUGGGCGAAAGCCUGACACAGCAACGCCGCGUGCGGGAAGAAGGCCUUCGGGUCGUAAACCGCUUUCAGCAGGAACGAAAAUGACGGUACCUGCAGAAGAAGGUGCGGCCAACUACGUGCCAGCAGCCGCCGUAA
rnacentral:rRNA from 1 species